GAUGAACGCUGGCGGCGUGCCUAAUACAUGCAAGUCGAGCGAACGGACGAGAAGCUUGCUUCUCUGAUGUUAGCGGCGGACGGGUGAGUAACACGUGGAUAACCUACCUAUAAGACUGGGAUAACUUCGGGAAACCGGAGCUAAUACCGGAUGAUAUUUUGAACCGCAUGGUUCAAAAGUGAAAGACUGUCUUGCUGUCACUUAUAGAUGGAUCCGCGCUGCAUUAGCUAGUUGGUAAGGUAACGGCUUACCAAGGCAACGAUGCAUAGCCGACCUGAGAGGGGGAUCGGCCACACUGGAACUGAGACACGGUCCAGACUCCUACGGGAGGCAGCAGUAGGGAAUCUUCCGCAAUGGGCGAAAGCCUGACGGAGCAACGCCGCGUGAGUGAUGAAGGUCUUCGGAUCGUAAAACUCUGUUAUUAGGGAAGAACAUAUGUGUAAGUAACUGUGCACAUCUUGACGGUACCUAAUCAGAAAGCCACGGCUAACUACGUG
rnacentral:rRNA from 1 species